UACAUGGGGUGCAAACGUUGCUCGGAAUUAUUGGGCGUAAAGCGCGCGUAGGCGGUUACUCAAGUCGGAUGUGAAAGCCCUCGGCUUAACUGAGGAAGUGCACCCCGAAACUGAGUAGCUAGAGUACUAAAGAGGGUCGCGGAAUUCCCGGUGUAGAGGUGAAAUUCGUAGAUAUCGGGAGGAACACCGGUGGCGAAGGCGGCGACCUGGGUAGAUACUGACGCUGAGGCGCGAAAGCGUGGGGAGCAAACAGG
rnacentral:rRNA from 1 species